GAUGAAGAACGUAGCGAAAUGCGAUAAGUAAUGUGAAUUGCAGAAUUCAGUGAAUCAUCGAAUCUUUGAACGCACAUUGCGCCCCCUGGCAUUCCGGGGGGCAUGCCUGUUCGAGCGUCAUUACAACCCUCAAGCUCUGCUUGGUAUUGGGCUCUGCUGGGACCGGCAGGCCUUAAAAUCAGUGGCGGCGCCACUCGGCUUCAAGCGUAGUAAUUCUUCUCGCUUCGGAGACCCGGGUGCGUGCUAGCCAGCAACCCCCAACUUUCUUAGGUUGACCUCGGAUCAGGUAGGGAUACCCGCUGAACUUAAGCAUAUCAAUAGCGGAGGA
rnacentral:misc_RNA from 1 species